rnacentral:rRNA from 1 species
AUGGCAGUGACUGUGAGAUUUCUUGAUGACCAUGGGGAGCUUCAGGAAAGGUUCCUUGCAACUAAGCACAUCAACGAUUGUACAUCUGCUGGAAUUAAAGAAGCUUUGGUUGAUGUGUUGGAUUAUCAUGGUUUGCAGAUUUCUAGGCUACGUGGACAGGGUUAUGAUGGGGCUUCAAAUAUGAGAGGAGAAUUCAAUGGUUUGCAAAAAUUGGUUAGAGAUGAAGCUCCAUAUGCAUUUUAUGUUCAUUACUUUGCUCACCAGUUGCUGUUGGUGGUUGUCAAUGUUGCUCAAUGUAGUCCUGCUAUUGCUGAUUUCUUCAACUAUAUCCCACUUAUAGUGACUCAAGUGCGUUCAUCUUGCAAGAGGAAAGAUGCAUUACUGGCCAAACAUCAAGACGAAUUGUUAGAUUUGAUGGAGAAUGGAAAGAUUUCAUCCGGAACCUGGUUGGAUCAAGAAUCUAGCCUAACAAGACAAGGAGAUACUCGUUGGGGCUCACAUCUUAGAACCUUGCUUCGCAUAUUCACAAUGUGGAAUGCUGUGGUGGAUGUGCUAGGAAUUGUAGUGGUUGAUGCUCGGGAACACGCUUGUCAAGGUGGAGCUUCAGGUUUGCUUAUUAAGAUGGAAUGCUUUGAAUUUGUGGUCAUCAUGUUUUUCUCAAUAAACUUGUUCAACACCACAAAUUAUCUAUCACAAGCUUUGCAAAGAAAGCCAUGCAUUUGA